rnacentral:rRNA from 1 species
CAGCAGCCGCGGUAAUACGUAGGGGGCAAGCGUUGUCCGGAAUCAUUGGGCGUAAAGAGCACGUAGGCGGUCUGUCGGGUCGGAUGUGAAAACCCACGGCUCAACUGUGGGAUUGCAUUCGAAACUGGCAGGCUUGAGUUCAGUAGAGGAAAGGGGAAUUCCCAGUGUAGCGGUGAAAUGCGCAGAUAUUGGGAAGAACACCGGUGGCGAAGGCGCCUUUCUGGGCUGUAACUGACGCUGAGGUGCGAAAGCUAGGGGAGCGAACAGGAUUAGAUACCCUGGUAGUCCUAGCCGUAAACGAUGGGCACUAGGUGUGGGGGGUGUCAACUCCCUCCGUGCCGGAGUUAACGCAUUAAGUGCCCCGCCUGGGGAGUACGGUCGCAAGGCUAAAACUCAAAGGAAUUGACGGGGGCCCGCACAAGCGGCGGAGCAUGUGGCUUAAUUCGACGCAACGCGAAGAACCUUACCCAGCUUUGACAUGCUUAUGAAAGACGUGGAAACACGUCCCCCUUUAUGGCAUAUGCACAGGAGGUGCAUGGCC